AUAAUUUAAACGUUGCUGCAAGAAAUGUUAAUCUUGUGGUGUCUUAUACAGGCAGUGAGAGAGCAAAGUCCUGGUGCAUGCAUGAUUGUUUUUUUUAUCUUAAUCAUGCUGUGGCCCCUAAUUGCUAACAUUUCCUUUUAAGAGCAUAUUUAUUAGAUCUAAGAAGCCUGCAAGAGAUGUUAAUCAUGUGGUGUCCUAUACCAUGCAGUCCAAGCACAGUGACACCAGAAAUAAAAGCAAAGUCCUGCAUGUUGAGCUCAGUAUAAUUAAUUGCAAGACAUUGUAUGUCAUGGCCCAGUAUGGGCAGACCUCAUUCCAAGCAAUGCAGGUGUUGUGAUCCCUUCUGUUUACAUAACUUUCUGUGUAGGGGUUAGAGCAAGAAAUGUUAAUCUUGUUGUGUCUUACAGGCACACCAGAAAUGAGAGAGCAAAGUCCUCGGCUGGUGAACCUGCAUGCUCAGUAUAUACCUGCAGAAUACAUCAAAUGAACAUACACACUUUUAUAUUGAGCAUGCAUGCACGCAUGCGUAUGGCAUUGCAUGAAUUUACAGCUAUAGUCUGCUUACAUAACUAUCUGUGUAGGCGUUCAUCAUCAUUGCGUAGUCUCAGAUUACUGAGACCACCUGAUGCACGCUGCAUGUGUUUGCUAAACCAAUAUUUCCACUAAGUCAUUAAGUAAUAUCGUCUCACCAUUGGAAUGUAGGUCAACACUCUCACCAUUGGAAUGUGCUAUACCUGUUAUAGGUCAACACUUUCUGGAAAAAUUUAUUACGAUCACUGAAAUGUGUAUAUGCAUAUCCUGUUUAAACCUUUGAAAUAAUGAUGCACACUGCAUGUACACCAAGGGCAACAGGCUGUAUAUAAAUGAACUGAAAACAGAGAGCAGUAUAUGCAGCUCGUGAACAACCAAAGAACCAAUUCGUAUCAACAGCACAGCAAGAAUGAAGAUAAUUGCUUUCCUCCUGGUGUCAAUAAUUUUAUGCUCUCAAGAAAUGGUGAAUGGAUUACCUGCAUCAUCUAUGAUGGAUGUAGCGAAGGUGAUUCAGAGGAGCGGAAACAACAAUGAAGCCCUAGCCCAAGCACUGAUAAUGCAAGCUCUUGCAGAAGAUUUGUCCAAUGAAGCCAAAGAAUCAAUUGCUAUCCCUAGAGGAAGGGAUAGAGCAAGCAUUGCUCAAAAUUCCGGCCCCGUAACUAUCGAGGAUUGUGGUAAUCCUGGACAAAUUGUAAACAGUGUUCUGCAGGCAUCACUAUUCUGGGUUCCUGCAAACACUCUAAAGGUUACGAUCAACUGUGGAAUAUCGUCAGGCUGCACACAAGUGAAAGUCGAAGUUCCAACAGGCACAGUCCAGGCUGACAUUGAUGUUUGUGUUGAUGAAACAACAAAACAAUUUUGUGUCGAAGUGUUUGCUGGUGCAUCGUGUAAACCAAGUUGGUUGGCAAUCCCCAUCCCCAUUAACAUCCCUAUAGCUACAUCUGGAACGACUGCUCCAAUCACACUGAUGAUUGACUUACUUGGAAGUAGUCCAUGUGUGAGCGUUAAAUUGAACAAUAGUUUCCCGAAGUGUUCAAACAACUAAAAGAAGCAAGAACAGCACUGUAGACAAGCGAUUAGGCAGCUGCUAGAUUAAGUUUUAGUAUUAACUUUUUUUAGUAAACAAUUAGGCAGCUGCUAGAUUUAGUAUUAAUGAGUGACUUGGAAAUUUAGCGUACCAUAUAAAAGGGUACAACUGAUUAUUGUGAUUAGAACAUCAAUGUAUAAUUAUGAAUGCAUGCAUGGUUAUGGCCAAGAGUUCA